rnacentral:rRNA from 1 species
GACGAACGCUGGCGGCGUGCUUAACACAUGCAAGUCGAACGGUUAAGCGCCUUUUUCUUUGGUGGGUGGGGAUGAGUGGCGAAGGGGUGAGUAACACGUGAGUAACCUGCCCCCUUUUUCUGGAUAACAGCAUGAAAGUGUGGCUAAUACGGGAUAUUCUGGGUCUGUGGGAUGAUGGGUCUGGGAAAGAUAUUGUUUCGGUGGGGGAGGGGCUCGCGGCCUAUCAGCUUGGUGGUGGGGAGGUGGCCUACCAAGGCGGGGACGGGUAGCCGGCCAGGGAGGGUGGGCGGCACCAGUGCGAAUGAGCCGCGGAGCAGACUACUACAGGAGGCAGCAGGGGAGAAUAGUGCACGGUGGGCGGAGGGCUGAUGCAGCGACGCGGCGUGGGAGAUGGUGUUCUGCGGGUUGUGAACCUCUUUCGCCAGUGAAGCAGGCCUGCCUCGUUUGUGGGUGGGUUGACGGUAGCUGGAGAAGAAGCGCCGGCUAACUACGUG